rnacentral:rRNA from 1 species
CGGAGGGUGCAAGCGUUAUCCGGAUUUACUGGGUUUAAAGGGUGUGUAGGCGGAUAUUUAAGUCAGAGGUGAAAUCUCCGAGCUCAACUCGGAAACUGCCUUUGAUACUAUUUAUCUUGAAUUUCGUUGAGGUUGGCGGAAUAUAUCAUGUAGCGGUGAAAUGCAUAGAUAUGAUAUAGAACACCGAUUGCGUAGGCAGCUGGCUGAACGAACAUUGACGCUGAGGCACGAAAGCGUGGGUAGCGAACAGGAAUAGAUACCCUGGUAGUCCACGCCCUAAACGAUGAUUACUCGACAUAUGCGAUACACAGUAUGUGUCUGAGCGAAAGCAUUAAGUAAUCCACCUGGGAAGUACGUCCGCAAGGAUG